UACGUAGGGUGCAAGCGUUGUCCGGAAUUAUUGGGCGUAAAGAGCUUGUAGGCAGUUUGUCGCGUCUGCUGUGAAAUUUCGGGGCUCAACCCCGAACUUGCAGUGGGUACGGGCAGACUAGAGUGUGGUAGGGGAGACUGGAAUUCCUGGUGUAGCGGUGAAAUGCGCAGAUAUCAGGAGGAACACCGGUGGCGAAGGCGGGUGUCUGG
rnacentral:rRNA from 1 species